CAGUCGAACGAGAGAAGAUCGGUGCUUGCACUGAUCCGAUCGAGUGGCGGACGGGUGAGUAACGCGUGGGUAACCUGCCUCAUACAGGGGAAUAACAGUUGGAAACGGCUGCUAAAACCGCAUAAGCGCACGGUAUCGCAUGAUACAGUGUGAAAAACUCCGGUGGUAUGAGAUGGACCCGCGUCUGAUUAGCUAGUUGGUGAGGUAACGGCCCACCAAGGCGACGAUCAGUAGCCGGCCUGAGAGGGUGAACGGCCACAUUGGGACUGAGACACGGCCCAAACUCCUACGGGAGGCAGCAGUGGGGAAUAUUGCACAAUGGGGGAAACCCUGAUGCAGCGACGCCGCGUGAGUGAUGAAGUAUUUCGGUAUGUAAAGCUCUAUCAGCAGGGAAGAUAAUGACGGUACCUGACUAAGAAGCACCGGCUAAAUACGUGCCAGCAGCCGCGGUAAUACGUAUGGUGCAAGCGUUAUCCGGAUUUACUGGGUGUAAAGGGUGCGUAGGUGGUGAGACAAGUCUGAAGUGAAAAUCCGGGGCUUAACCCCGGAACUGCUUUGGAAACUGCCUGACUAGAGUACAGGAGAGGUAAGUGGAAUUCCUAGUGUAGCGGUGAAAUGCGUAGAUAUUAGGAGGAACACCAGUGGCGAAGGCGACUUACUGGACUGCUACUGACACUGAG
rnacentral:rRNA from 1 species